GAUGAACGCUGGCGGCGUGCCUAAUACAUGCAAGUCGAGCGAAUGAUGAGGAGCUUGCUCCUCUGAUUUAGCGGCGGACGGGUGAGUAACACGUGGGUAAUCUGCCUGUAAGACGGGGAUAACUCCGGGAAACCGGGGCUAAUACCGGAUAACAAGAGAAGAAGCAUUUCUUCUUUUUGAAAGUCGGUUUUGGCUGACACUUACAGAUGAGCCCGCGGCGCAUUAGCUAGUUGGUGAGGUAACGGCUCACCAAGGCGACGAUGCGUAGCCGACCUGAGAGGGUGAUCGGCCACACUGGGACUGAGACACGGCCCAGACUCCUACGGGAGGCAGCAGUAGGGAAUCUUCGGCAAUGGGCGAAAGCCUGACCGAGCAACGCCGCGUGAGCGAUGAAGGCCUUCGGGUCGUAAAGCUCUGUUGUUAGAGAAGAACAAGUACGAGAGUAACUGCUCGUACCUUGACGGUACCUAACCAGAAAGCCACGGCUAACUACGUGCCAGCAGCCGCUGUAACAC
rnacentral:rRNA from 1 species